rnacentral:piRNA from 1 species
UAACAUGCCUUGGUUCAAGGGAUGGA